rnacentral:rRNA from 1 species
AUGAACGCUAGCUACAGGCUUAACACAUGCAAGUCGAGGGGCAGCAUGGUCUUAGCUUGCUAAGGCCGAUGGCGACCGGCGCACGGGUGAGUAACACGUAUCCAACCUGCCGUCUACUCUUGGACAGCCUUCUGAAAGGAAGAUUAAUACAAGAUGGCAUCAUGAGUCCGCAUGUUCACAUGAUUAAAGGUAUUCCGGUAGACGAUGGGGAUGCGUUCCAUUAGAUAGUAGGCGGGGUAACGGCCCACCUAGUCUUCGAUGGAUAGGGGUUCUGAGAGGAAGGUCCCCCACAUUGGAACUGAGACACGGUCCAAACUCCUACGGGAGGCAGCAGUGAGGAAUAUUGGUCAAUGGGCGAGAGCCUGAACCAGCCAAGUAGCGUGAAGGAUGACUGCCCUAUGGGUUGUAAACUUCUUUUAUAAAGGAAUAAAGUCGGGUAUGGAUACCCGUUUGCAUGUACUUUAUGAAUAAGGAUCGGCUAACUCCGUGCCAGCAGCCGCGGUAAUACGGAGGAUCCGAGCGUUAUCCGGAUUUAUUGGGUUUAAAGGGAGCGUAGAUGGAUGUUUAAGUCAGUUGUGAAAGUUUGCGGCUCAACCGUAAAAUUGCAGUUGAUACUGGAUAUCUUGAGUGCAGUUGAGGCAGGCGGAAUUCGUGGUGUAGCGGUGAAAUGCUUAGAUAUCACGAAGAACUCCGAUUGCGAAGGCAGCCUGCUAAGCUGCAACUGACAUUGAGGCUCGAAAGUGUGGGUAUCAAACAGGAUUAGAUACCCUGGUAGUCCACACGGUAAACGAUGAAUACUCGCUGUUUGCGAUAUACUGCAAGCGGCCAAGCGAAAGCGUUAAGUAUUCCACCUGGGGAGUACGCCGGCAACAGUGAAACUCAAAGGAAUUGACGGGGGCCCGCACAAGCGGAGGAACAUGUGGUUUAAUUCGAUGAUACGCGAGGAACCUUACCCGGGCUUAAAUUGCAGAUGAAUGACGGUGAAAGCCGUAAGCCGGAAGGCAUCUGUGAAGGUGCUGCAUGGUUGUCGUCAGCUCGUGCCGUGAGGUGUCGGCUUAAGUGCCAUAACGAGCGCAACCCUUGUUGUCAGUUACUAACAGGUUCCGCUGAGGACUCUGACAAGACUGCCAUCGUAAGAUGUGAGGAAGGUGGGGAUGACGUCAAAUCAGCACGGCCCUUACGUCCGGGGCUACACACGUGUUACAAUGGGGGGUACAGAGGGCCGCUACCACGCGAGUGGAUGCCAAUCCCCAAAACCUCUCUCAGUUCGGACUGGAGUCUGCAACCCGACUCCACGAAGCUGGAUUCGCUAGUAAUCGCGCAUCAGCCACGGCGCGGUGAAUACGUUCCCGGGCCUUGUACACACCGCCCGUCAAGCCAUGGGAGCCGGGGGUACCUGAAGUGCGUAACCGCGAGGAGCGCCCUAGGGUAAAACUGGUGACUGGGGCU